CGGAAGGAAAGAACUGACUCCAAGUGGUCCUCUGACCUCCACUUAUGUGUUUUGGCAUCUGGGGCCAACACACACACAAACAGACAAUCAGAUACAAUUUUAAAGAAUUCCAUUUUAGACUUGUCCAAGAAAAAGUAGAAGUCAUUAGCUCUCAGGAAAUUAUUCUUUGGGGCUGGAGAAAUAGCUUAGUGGUUAGGAGCGCUUUAGGAGGGCUGGAGUUUGGCUCCCCAGCACCCGUGCCAGGUGGCUCUCAACUGCCUGCAACUCCGGAUCCAGGAGAUCCAAACCACUCUUCUGGUUUCCAUGGAUCCACACACACAUUCUCCAUGGAUACACACACACACACACUCCAUGGAUACACACACACACACUCCAUGGAUAUACACAUACACACACACACACACUCCAUGGAUACACACACACUCCAUGGAUACACACACACACACACUCCAUGGAUAUACACAUACACACACACACACACACACUCCAUGGAUACACACACACACACACUCCAUGGAUACACACACACACACACUCCAUGGAUACACACACACACACUCCAUGGAUAUACACAUACACACACACACACACACUCCAUGGAUAUACACACACUCCAUGGAUCCACACACACUCCAUGGAUCCACACACACUCCAUGGAUCCACACACACUCCACAGAUCCACACACACUCCAUGGAUCCACACACACAUACUCCAUGGAUACACACACACACACUCCAUGGAUACACACACACUCCAUGGAUAUACACACAUACUCC
rnacentral:lncRNA from 1 species